rnacentral:rRNA from 1 species
UACGUAGGUGACCAGCGUUGUCCGGAUUUACUGGGCGUAAAGAGCGCGCAGGCGGUCGUUCAAGUCGAGUGUGAAAGCCCCCGGCUCAACUGGGGAGGGUCACUCGAUACUGAUCGACUUGAAGGCAGGAGAGGGAAGCGGAAUUCCCGGUGUAGUGGUGAAAUGCGUAGAUAUCGGGAGGAACACCAGUGGCGAAGGCGACUUCCUGGCCUGUUCUUGACGCUGAGGCGCGAAAGCUAGGGUAGCAAACGGG